ensembl:ncRNA lncRNA:CR43879 long non-coding RNA:CR43879
AGCCCUCCCUUUUUUGACCAUGUCCGAGUGGGUUUUAUUAACUUGUUCUAGCUUCAAGAAUGUCACGGUAGAGUGGCCAAAGUGUCAGUGGAUUACACAUUCCGAUAGCCGGCUAUGAUCGUAUCCCCUGUGAAGAAAUGGGCGUAUUGUUGAAAGCACAAAACAAUUAAUGAGACUGCGAUGAUGGGCUUAAUGAACUUUUGCAAAAACCAAACAAUAUUAUGGCCAAGUGGAAAAAAGGGAAAACUUGCAAUUGCCUCCAACUCAGCGGAUCGUUAUCCCUUUCACAUUCGAUUUAGCAUUUAACGAUGCACGAAAUCAGCAGCUCCGGUGCCCAUUUCCACAGCGAUUUCCACUUCCAUCCCGACAAUUUCCACACAAUUUUCAAUUAAUUAAACCAAAAAUAUUCCUGUUGCUUCUGUUGCCGCUCGGCCGGGGCCUUUUACAAUUGACGUAAAAUAUAAUUAAAAUUGUUC